CCUACGGGUGGCAGCAGUGGGGAAUAUUGCACAAUGGGGGAAACCCUGAUGCAGCGACGCCGCGUGAGUGCAGAAGUAAUUCGUUAUGUAAAGCUCUAUCAGCAGGGAAGAAAGAAAUGACGGUACCUGACUAAGAAGCCCCGGCUAACUACGUGCCAGCAGCCGCGGUAAUACGUAGGGGGCAAGCGUUAUCCGGAUUUACUGGGUGUAAAGGGAGCGUAGACGGCGAUGCAAGUCUGAAGUGAACGGCGGGAGCUCACCCCCCGGACUGCUUUGGAAACUGUAUGGCUGGAGUGCAGGAGAGGUAAGUGGAAUUGCUAGGGUAGCGGUGAAAUGCGUAGAUAUUAGGAGGAACACCAGUGGCGAAGGCGGCUUACUGGACUGUAACUGACGUUGAGGCUCGAAAGCGUGGGGAGCAAACAGGAUUAGAUACCCGAGUAGUC
rnacentral:rRNA from 1 species